rnacentral:rRNA from 1 species
UUCCGGUUGAUCCUGCCGGAGGCCACUGCUAUGGGGGUCCGACUAAGCCAUGCGAGUCAUGGGGCGCCUUGCGCGCACCGGCGGACGGCUCAGUAACACGUCGGUAACCUACCCUCGGGAGGGGGAUAACCCCGGGAAACUGGGGCUAAUCCCCCAUAGGCCUGAGGUACUGGAAGGUCCUCAGGCCGAAAGGGGCUCUGCCCGCCCGAGGAUGGGCCGGCGGCCGAUUAGGUAGUUGGUGGGGUAACGGCCCACCAAGCCGAAGAUCGGUACGGGCCAUGAGAGUGGGAGCCCGGAGAUGGACACUGAGACACGGGUCCAGGCCCUACGGGGCGCAGCAGGCGCGAAACCUCCGCAAUGCGGGCAACCGCGACGGGGGGACCCCCAGUGCCGUGGCAACGCCACGGCUUUUCCGGAGUGUAAAAAGCUCCGGGAAUAAGGGCUGGGCAAGGCCGGUGGCAGCCGCCGCGGUAAUACCGGCGGCCCGAGUGGUGGCCGCUAUUAUUGGGCCUAAAGCGUCCGUAGCCGGGCCCGUAAGUCCCUGGCGAAAUCCCACGGCUCAACCGUGGGGCUUGCUGGGGAUACUGCGGGCCUUGGGACCGGGAGAGGCCGGGGGUACCCCUGGGGUAGGGGUGAAAUCCUAUAAUCCCAGGGGGACCGCCAGUGGCGAAGGCGCCCGGCUGGAACGGGUCCGACGGUGAGGGAC